rnacentral:rRNA from 1 species
UACGAAGGGGGGCUAGCGUUGUUCGGAAUCACUGGGCGUAAAGCGCACGUAGGCGGAUUUUUAAGUCAGGGGUGAAAUCCCGAGGCUCAACCUCGGAACUGCCUUUGAUACUGGAGAUCUUGAGUCCGGAAGAGGUAAGUGGAACUGCGAGUGUAGAGGUGAAAUUCGUAGAUAUCGCAAGAACACCAGUGGCGAAGGCGGCUUACUGGUCCGGAACUGACGCUGAGGUGCGAAAGCGUGGGGAGCAAACAGG